GAUUACAAAUCGUCUUUGAAAAAGGCCACUUCUGUGUUGGAUUAUCUGACUCGAGUUAUCAUCACAAAAUGUCCGCACAUCGCCGCUUUGGGAGACGAUCUCAGAUAUGUGGAAAAAGCAUCAAAAGUUCCAUUUCAUUCUCUUGACAAGGAAAUAUGCAAGCUGUCUACAGAAAUUGAGGUCCUUGAAGAAGACGUAGAGAAAAUAAACAACGAUAGUGUAGAGGAAGACUGUUUCAGUACAAGUAUUAGAGUAUCCUUCAAAGCUGAAGAUCAGACGUGGAUGGUCUACUCCAUACAAACAGUGGA